AUGGGUACAGACCUUGGCAUCUCUUCCGGUCGUCCUAAAACUGACAGGCUCAGGGUUGACAAGUGAGUCCUCAGCCCUCGUUGUGACUAAUUAGAAAUUCAAGUCCGUUUCUCACGAAGAGAAGGUUCCCAGCUUACCCUAUCAAUAGUUUGAACAAUUGGAGAAAAAUAAGCAAACCACGAGGCUGAUUGGGAUGGAUCAGCAAGGAGUUUCUAUGGCAUGGUCAACGCUCUGAAAGGAGAUCAGGGCCGCGGCGCCUCUCUUCUUGGGGCUGGCAUGUGCGAACCCACCACUCGCCAUGUGUGACUCCAUGUGCAUGAUUCAUUCCAGAGCAGUUUUAGUCCUCAUAAAAUAUUCAUUUUGGUUGUGCACAGGAGCCCUUCCCUUUUCCAAAAGAAGCCUUUGAGGAGGGCUGCAGGAGGGGCAGGACCGGGGGUUGUUGCCCCCACCUCAGGAAGCAGAUUCCCCAGCACGCCCUAACCACGCCCGAGGCUGGUGGACGGAACUGUGCAAGACCAGCCUCUCGUGCUUCUCAAACAGGGAGCCCGGGAGAUGGCCACAGGUUCUCUUUGCGAUGUUGGCCGUCUUCCUCCACCAGCGCUAAGUGGUCUGUACAUCGGGAGAGAGAAGUGGCUCCUUUUUAAGCCUAAUGGAUUUACACAGACCAUUCUCUUCAUUCUCCUAAAACUCUUGGGAUGGACAAUAGCAGCACUUCCAGCUCUGCCCCGCACUGUCUUGGGGACAGACAAAGGGGAAGGAGCACCAGUGGGGAACCCUCCAGCGUUG
rnacentral:lncRNA from 1 species